GGUAAUANGUAGNUGGCAAGCGUUAUCCGGAUUNACUNGGUGUAAAGGGCGNGUAGGCGGGAAAGCAAGUCAGAUGUGAAAACUGUGGGCUCAACCCACAGCNUGCAUUUGAAACUGUUUUUCNUGAGUACUGGAGAGGCAGAUGGAAUUCCUAGUGUAGCGGUGAAAUGCGUAGAUAUUAGGAGGAACACCAGUGGCGAAGGCGAUCUGCUGGACAGCAACUGACGNUGAGGCGCGAAAGCGUGGGGAGCAAACAGGAUUAGAUACCCCGGUUGUAACAG
rnacentral:rRNA from 1 species